CAGACAAUGCGGUAUCUAGCUUUCUAAUAGCUCACGAUUGACCCAAUGUGACACCGCCAGCAGGAGGUGGAGAGGCGGAAGCUGGAAAGACGGGAUAGGAGGUUCGUGCUCUAGUGGAGGAAGAGCUGUACUUUUUGGGUUUUAUCUUUCCACUUAGCAAAGAUGAGGUGGUGAGAUGCAAAGGAUGGGUCUUGUGACUUACUGGUUGAAAGGGGCAUCUCUCCUGGGAGGACCAACACCAAAAGAUAUAAAUGCAGGGCUUUGCUGUGUAUUCAUUCCUGUAUCGAUCAGAAGCCAUAUAGUGGCCCUUUUCCACGGAUGAUGAACAUGCACAGACAGAAUGCACAAUUCUCUAUUUACUCCGAGGAUACAGUUUCUACGUGUAAAACUCCCCCUGACCUCAAUACAUCAAACCACAGGCAGGUGUAUGCUUGUGUUUUCCUAUGAGGUCUCCAUACUUACUAUGUGAAAUAACACCAUGCUCUGUAGAGGUAAACCGAGGUAAACAACUUGAACCCUCAGCCAUGUGUGUCAUGGCCUGUGGGAAUGUGUUUGUGCCUAUGUUUAUGUCUCAUGAAUUCGACUGAAUGGUGUGUGCCUGUGUCCUCUGUGGGGAAUGUUAACCCAAUCCUCUGGAGAGCGCUUUGGGCCAAUGAAUAAAUUCCAUUUGAU